ACUGGAUGUGGUGGCCAGCACCUGUAAUCCCAGCUACUUGGGAGGCUGAGGCUGGAGGAUCACUUGAACCUAGGAGUUCUGAGCUAUAUAGUGCACUAUGCCAAUCGGGUAUCUGCACAAGUUUCGGCAUCAAUAUGGUGACCUCCCGGAAGCAGGGAACCACCAGCUUGCCUAAGGAGGAGUGAACUGGCCCAGGUCAGAAACGGAGCAGGUCAAAACUCCAGUGCUGAUCAGUAGUGGGAUGGUGCCUGUGAAUAGCCACUGCACUCCAGCCUGGGCAACAUAGCCAGACCCCGUCUCU
rnacentral:SRP_RNA from 1 species